rnacentral:rRNA from 1 species
UACGUAGGCAGCGAGCGUUGUUCGGAGUUACUGGGCGUAAAGGGUGUGUAGGCGGUUCUUUAAGUUUGGCGUGAAAUCUCCCGGCUCAACCGGGAGGGUGCGUCGAAUACUGAGGGACUAGAGUACGGGAGAGGAAAGUGGAAUUCCUGGUGUAGCGGUGAAAUGCGUAGAUAUCAGGAGGAACACCGGUGGUGUAGACGGCUUUCUGGACAGAGUCUGACGCUGAGGCGCGAAAGCUAGGGGAGCAAACAGG